rnacentral:rRNA from 1 species
AUGUCGCACACCAAGGUUCCCUAUCUCGCCGUGCCGCCGCCGCCGGCGGCGGCGGCCCCGGCUGCCGCGUACUACCAAGACGACGAGCCGGUGGAGGAGAAGAAACCCCUGGCAAACAACGGCCGGGGGUUGGUCCUCAAGACUCACUGCGAGUUCCCGGCCAUCGGAAGGGGCGCGUUCAGGGACAAGUUCGCGGUGCUCGUCCAUGCCAGGGCGCCCGCCGACGUGGCGCGCGCGCCGCUCGACCUCGUCACCGUGCUCGACGUCAGCGGCAGCAUGAAGGGCCAAAAGUUGGCGCUGCUGAAACAGGCCAUGGCGUUCGUCGUCGAUCAACUCGGCCCUGCCGAUCGCCUCUCCGUAGUGUCCUUCUCGGGUCGGGCGGCCCGCUUGACCUGCCUCGCGCGCAUGUCGGACGCGGGCAAGGCCUCGGCGGAGCUCGCGGUGGACUCCCUUGUUGUUGGGUCGGGCACCAACAUCGGCGAGGGCCUCCGUGUGGGCGCCCAGGUGCUCGUCGGCCGCCGGCUCAAGAACUCCGUCGCCAGCAUGAUCCUCCUCUCCGACGGCCAGGACUCGCGCCUCAGGGCAAAUAAGAGGUACAUGGACCUUGUGCCGCCUCUGUUCGUGCUCGCUGGUAGCCGGCCCGGGCCGAUCCACACGUUCGGCUUCGGCGCCAACCACGACGCCGCGGCAUUGCACACCAUCGCGCAGGCCACGGGCGGCACCUUCUCCUUCGUCGGGAACCAGGCGGCGAUCCAGGACUCGUUCGCGCAGUGCAUCGGCGGGCUCCUGUCGGUCGCCGUGCAGGAGGCGCGCAUCGCCGUCACGUGCCUGCACCGAGGCGUGCACGUCCAGGAAGUCAAGUCGGGCUGCUACGGCAACCACGUGGACGCCGACGGCCGCGCUGCCUCCAUCGACGUCGGAGAGCUCUACGACGGCGAGGAGAGGCGCUUCUUGGUGCUCGUGUACGUGCCGAGAGCCCGGCCCGCGGAGUCGGUCACCCGCCUGAUCAAGGUGACCUGCGGCUACAAUGACGCCGCGACAGGGCAGGCCGCCAACGCCGCCGCACCCGCGGCGGUGAUCCAGAGGCCGCUGGAGCUGACCGACCUGCCGCAUCCGUGCAUGGAGGUGGAGCGGGAGCGCGUCCGCCUUGCCACGACCCAAGACAUCGCGGCCGCACGGGAGGCAGCUGAAGGAGGGCAACACGCCAGCGCGGCGCGGAUACUGGACUCCCGGCUAAAGGCGGUGGAGAGGUCGGCGCCUGGGACGGCCGGAGAUGAUCCCACGUGUGAGGCGAUCAAGGAGGAGCUGCGCGACCUGAGCGCCCGCGUGGGGGACCGGCGGGAGUACCAGCAGACGGGUCGAGCGUGCCUGCUUGCCGGCAUGAGCUCGCACGCGCAGCAGCGCGCCUCGGCGGUGGAGCUGCAGUCGGCGAGCAAGGCCCGGGCGUACCUGACUCCCAAGAUGGAGGAGAUGGUGGAGACGUCGCGUGAGCAGAGCAGAAAGCGUGGCAGCAGCAGCGACGCCGGAUCCAGCCAGCUUAAUAAACAGAUCAAGCAAGACCUGACAGAGGAUUAA